GAUGAACGCUGGCGGCGUGCCUAAUACAUGCAAGUCGAGCGAACGGACGAGAAGCUUGCUUUUCUGAUGUUAGCGGCGGACGGGUGAGUAACACGUGGAUAACCUACUUAUAAGACUGGGAUAACUUCGGGAAACCGGAGCUAAUACCGGAUCAUAUUUUGAACCGCAUGGUUCAAAAGUGAAUGACGGUCUUGCUGUCACUUAUAGAUGGAUCCGCGCUGCAUUAGCUAGUUGGUAAGGUAACGGCUUACCAAGGCAACGAUGCAUAGCCGACCUGAGAGGGUGAUCGGCCACACUGGAACUGAGACACGGUCCAGACUCCUACGGGAGGCAGCAGUAGGGAAUCUUCCGCAAUGGGCGAAAGCCUGACGGAGCAACGCCGCGUGAGUGAUGAAGGUCUUCGGAUCGUAAAACUCUGUUAUUAGGGAAGAACAUAUGUGUAAGUAACUGUGCACAUCUUGACGGUACCUAAUCAGAAAGCCACGGCUAACUACGUG
rnacentral:rRNA from 1 species